rnacentral:misc_RNA from 1 species
AUGGCUGUCACCACACAACAAGUUGAUGGCGGCCGGGGACGCAUGUGCUACUUUGAUGUCCUCCUUGCACCCAUGAAGGGCACGAGGAGGAAAGGGGCUCCGUUGGCAACUAAUUCCGUCACAUUAGGUAUGCAAUACAAGAACCUAGGAGGCUGAAAAGACACAUGGUCCUCAUAGCAAAACACUGAGAGGUAGCCGAGCACAAGCAGUUCGAUGCCCAAAGCAC